ACCUGGCUGGCUCAGUCAGUAGAGCAUGUGACUCUUGAUCUCAGGGUCAUGAGUUCAAGCCCUGUGCUGAGCA
rnacentral:tRNA from 1 species